rnacentral:rRNA from 1 species
CGCUGGCGGCGUGCCUAACACAUAGCAAGUCGAACGAAUCAUCUUUGUAGCAAUAUAGAAGAUGGUGAGUGGCGCACGGGUGAGUAAUACAUAGAUGAUCUGCCUUUCAGACUGGGACAACUCAGGGAAACUUGAGCUAAUACCAGAUAAGACCACAUGAAGGGAUUCACGUGACCAAAGGGUGAGCAAUCUCCUGCUGGAAGAUGAGUCUAUGUCCUAUCAGUUAGUUGGUGGGGUAAAGGCCUACCAAGACGAAGACGGGUAGCCGGCCUGAGAGGGUGAACGGCCACACUGGAACUGAGACACGGUCCAGACUCCUACGGGAGGCAGCAGUGAGGAAUUUUCCGCAAUGGGCGAAAGCCUGACGGAGCGACGCCGCGUGAGGGAUGAAGGUUUUCGGAUCGUAAACCUCUUUUAUCAAGGAAAAAGGCUUUAAUGCGAAUAACAUUAAAGUUUGAUUGUACUUAAUGAAUAAGCCCCGGCUAACUACGUGCCAGCCGCUGC